UACCGAGGUGGCAAGCGUUGUUCGGAAUUACUGGGCGUAAAGGGCGCGUAGGCGGCCUUCUAAGUCAGACGUGAAAUCCCCCGGCUUAACCUGGGAACUGCGUCUGAUACUGGGAGGCUAGAGUAUGGGAGAGGGAUGUAGAAUUCCAGGUGUAGCGGUGAAAUGCGUAGAUAUCUGGAGGAACACCGGUGGCGAAGGCGGCAUCCUGGACCGGCAUUGACGCUGAUGAGCGAAAGCCAGGGGAGCAAACGGG
rnacentral:rRNA from 1 species